rnacentral:misc_RNA from 1 species
GCCAACCCCUGGCUAUUCUGUUUUUCAGCCUGUUGUGUUACCUGAUGGUUUUCUUUCGAAAGUCGAUGGAAGGGGGAAAAUAGUGAAAUGGUGUCCACAAGAACAAGUCUUGUCUCACCCUUCUACCGCCUUUUUUCUGACACAUUGUGGAUGGAAUUCAUCGAUGGAGGCAAUUUCAAGUGGCGUCCCCAUCAUUGCUUACCCUCAAUGGGGUGAUCAAGCCACGAACGCAAAGUAUUUGGUUGAUGUAUUCAAAAUGGGGAUAAGAUUAAGCAAAGAUGAGAACGGGAGCAAGAUAAUUCGGAGGGAAGAGAUUGAGAAAUGCUUGCGUGAAGCCACUAGUGAUGAUUCGAAGGUAGCAGAGAUGAUAGAAAAUGCGCGUAAGUGGAAGAAACAAGCAGAGGAAGCAGUGGCAGAGCGCGGUUCCUCUGCUAUCAAUAUCCAAGCAUUUGUCGAUGAGUUGAAAAAUAUCCAUGCCAAGAAACAACAAGAAAACGCCUAGUGAUCGACAUUCUUAAUUGAGAAUGUG